UACGGAGGGCGCAAGCGUUUUUCGGAAUCACUGGGCGUAAAGCGCGUGUAGGCGGCUUGGCAAGUCGGAUGUGAAAUCCCGAGGCUCAACCUCGGAACUGCACUCGAAACUGCCUGGCUCGAGUCCCGGAGAGGGAGGCGGAAUUCCUGGUGUAGGGGUGAAAUCCGUAGAUAUCGGGAGGAACACCAGUGGCGAAGGCGGCCACCUGGACGGUGACUGACGCUGAGACGCGGAAGCGUGGGGAGCAAACAGG
rnacentral:rRNA from 1 species